GUAACAUAAAUCACAAGUCACGUCAAGUUUCAGAUGUGGCUUCUACUAGCAGACCAAGGCUUGGAUCGUUGAUCGCGAAUCCCAAAAAGAAAAGGACUAGUAAGCUGAUAAUGCCUAGUAUGUGUUCAAUGGUAGAAGUUGCAGAAUGUAAUCCACCAGCUGCUAUAUCAAGAUUCACUUACAGGAAUCUAAAAGGCUGACUUUUGAAG
rnacentral:misc_RNA from 1 species